rnacentral:rRNA from 1 species
GGACCCGCACAAGUAGUGGAGCAUGUGGUUUAAUUCGAAGAUACGCGCAGAACCUUACCAACACUUGACAUGUUCGUCGCGACUCUGAGAGAUCAGAGUUUUCGGUUCGGCCGGACGAAACACAGGUGCUGCAUGGCUGUCGUCAGCUCGUGUCGUGAGAUGUUGGGUUAAGUCCCGCAACGAGCGCAACCCUCACUUUUAGUUGCCAUCAUUAAGUUGGGCACUCUGAAAGAACUGCCAGUGAUAAGCUGGAGGAAGGUGGGGAUGACGUCAAGUCCUCAUGGCCCUUACGUGUUGGGCUACACACGUGCUACAAUGGCAGGUACAGAGGGCAGCGAAGUCGCGAGGCUAAGCAAAUCUCAAAAGCCUGUCCCAGUUCGGAUUGGAGUCUGGAACUCGACUCCAUG